rnacentral:tRNA from 1 species
GAGGGUAGAGCUCAGUGGUAGAGCAUGUGCUUAGCAUGCACGAGGUCCUGGGUUCAGUCCCCAGUCACUCCU